AUGGGCUAUCAUGACCCUGGCCCCAGGCAGCAUGCAACCCUCCUGCUGCUGCUGCUUCUUCUGGGCCUGGCUUUGGGGACCCAGAGUCUGCUGCCCUCAAAAGCAGCACGGAGGGGCAGAGCCCUGAGCCCUAGUGCCCGAGCAGGAAGCAGUCAGUCCAGUCUGUGGAGCCUGUGGGGCAGGUUCCUGCUCCAGCCCAGCCCCCAGGCAGCAGGUGGUCCCAGGUGCUGGCCCAAUGGACUUUGGUCAGCACCUAAGUCACUAUGGUAUGUCUUUGGUGGUGGAACCCAGCUCACUGUAUUAGGUCAGCCCAAGGCCGUUCCCUCAGUCAUCCUGUUCCCACCUUCCUAUGAGGAACUCCAGGAUAACAGGGCUACGCUGGUGUGUCUGAUGAAUGACUUCUACCCAGGUGCUGUGACAGUGGUCUGGAAGGUAGAUGGCACCCUUGUCACCCAGGGUGUGGAGACCACCCAGCCCUCAAAACAAAGCAACAACAAGUACAUAGCCAGCAGCUACCUGACCCUUACCCCUGACCAGUGGACAGCUCACAGAAGAUAUAGCUGCCAGGUCAUGCAUGAAGGGAGCACGGUGGAGAAAAGUGUAUCCCUUGCAGAAUGUUCCUAG